rnacentral:tRNA from 1 species
AUUCAAAUAGCUUAAAUUAAAGCUCAGUGUUGAAGGUACUGCGAUAAGUCUAUCUUUUUGAAUA